GGGUGUGAUCAUACCAGCGAUAAUGCGUCGGAUCCCAUCAGAACUCCGCAGUUAAGCGCGCUUGGGCCAGAGUAGUAUUGGGAUGGGUGACCUCCCGAGAAGUCCUAGUGUUGCACCCU
rnacentral:rRNA from 1 species